rnacentral:rRNA from 1 species
GACGAACGCUGGCGGCGUGCUUAACACAUGCAAGUCGAACGAUGAUGCUGGAGCUUGCUCCAGUUGAUUAGUGGCGAACGGGUGAGUAACACGUGAGCAAUCUGCCCUUGACUCUGGGAUAACUGCGGGAAACUGUAGCUAAUACCGGAUACUUUCACCGGAAGGCAUCUUCUGGUGAUGAAAGAAUUUCGGUCAGGGGUGAGCUCGCGGCCUAUCAGCUUGUUGGUGAGGUAACGGCUCACCAAGGCGACGACGGGUAACCGGCCUGAGAGGGUAACCGGUCACACUGGGACUGAGACACGGCCCAGACUCCUACGGGAGGCAGCAGUGGGGAAUAUUGCACAAUGGGCGCAAGCCUGAUGCAGCAACGCCGCGUGAGGGAUGACGGCCUUCGGGUUGUAAACCUCUUUUAGUAGGGAAGAAGCGAAAGUGACGGUACCUGCAGAAAAAGCACCGGCUAACUACGUGCCAGCCGCCGCGGUAA